rnacentral:misc_RNA from 1 species
CCCAUCCCACCCUUUCUGCACCGAGCCGUCGCCGCCUCGCGCCCAAGAGACCGUCCUGGCCAGGAACGACUACCAUCGGCGCCCGCUGUGGCUGCUCCCGCCGUUGCCGACGCUUCCUGCUCCUGCUACACGCCGUCCACCUCGGGAGCUCCCCUCCUCGGACUCGGAGCACAUGUCCGAGAGGUUGACGAGGCUAGUGGCGUGGCACAGGCGGCGAGACCAGAGCACCUGAUCCCACACUUGCUCCGGCAGUCGCAACGUGAACCUCUCGUGGUCGCCCUCCUCCUUCGCGUUGCCGCCGGCCGCCGCCGCAAAGAGCGUGUGGCGGCCCGCCGCGCCCUGCGCAGCAUCUCCAGCUCGAUGGCCUCCUCCUUCCUAUCGUCCUCCUUGUCGCUGUCCUCCUCCAACUCGUCGUCCAACACCGGUACCGCCACGGCCUCCGGCAGCCGCGAAGGCUAGCACGGCGCUAGCGCCACCGGCGGCACCAGCACCGGUACCUUGGCGCGGCAGAGCAGGCACGUGGCCCGCGACUGCAGCCAGGGGUCGAUGCACUCGGGGUGGAACGCGUGGGACGGUGGGAGCAGUGCGGCAGUAGGCGGUGGUCAUUGUCGUCCACUCGUCCUCGAACGCCGUGAGGCACACCGCGCACUCCAGCACCCCUUGCCGACCUUGUGCUCCACGACCUCCCUGUACGAC